CAGACCCGCGGAGCCGGCCUGGAGCUGCGGGCGCUGCAGGCGAGAUCGGCCCCGCUCCGCCGCGGCUCCGGGCCGAGCCGAGCGGGGGCGGGGAGAUGAGCGGCGGGCCCCGCGGCGGCGCCCCCACGUAGACGCGCCGCCCCCUCGCGGAGCCGCGGCGCCUCCGCGCCGGCCCUGCGCCCCCCGCCGCCCGGGCUUCGGAACUUGUGGGCUGCGAUGGGACGCCUGUGAUAGCGAACGUGUUUCGUUUCCCACACGAUGGGGAGGGACGCGCGGCGGCGGCGCCAUCGGGAACGGGCGCGCCGGUGAAGUAGGGGCCGCCGGCCGUCCCUGCAGCGGGCCGUUCCGCGCGCGGCCGCGCAGCCUCUGCCAUGGCCGGGUCCGGCGCGUGGAAGCGCCUCAAAUCUCUGCUGAGGAAGGACGACGCGCCGCUGUUUUUAAAUGACACCAGCGCCUUUGACUUCUCGGACGAGGCGGGGGACGAGGGGCUUUCUCGGUUUAACAAACUUCGCGUUGUGGUGGCCGACGACGGUUCCGAAACCCCGGGAAGGCCUGUUAACGGGGCGCACCCGGCCCUCCAGGCCGACGACGAUUCGUUGCUGGACCAGGACUUACCUCUGACCAACAGCCAGCUGAGCCUGAAGGCGGACCCCUGUGACAGCUGCAGCAGACGGAGGGAGCUGCUGAAGCAGAGAAAGGUGAAAACCAGGUUGACCAUUGCGGCCGUUCUGUACUUGCUUUUCAUGAUUGGAGAACUUGUAGGUGGAUACAUUGCAAAUAGCCUAGCAAUCAUGACAGAUGCACUUCAUAUGUUAACUGAUUUAAGUGCGAUCAUACUGACCCUGCUUGCUUUGUGGCUGUCUUCAAAAUCACCAACCAAAAGAUUCACCUUUGGAUUUCAUCGCUUAGAGGUUUUGUCAGCUAUGAUUAGUGUGCUGUUGGUAUAUAUACUUAUGGCAUUUCUCCUAUAUGAAGCUGUCCAAAGAACUAUCCAUAUGAAAUAUGAAAUAAAUGGAGAUGUAAUGCUCAUUACCGCAGCUGUUGGAGUUGCAGUCAACGUAAUAAUGGGGUUUCUUUUGAACCAGUCUGGUCACCAUCACGCCCAUUCCCACUCCCUGCCUUCAAAUUCUCCUACCACAGGUCCUGGGUAUGGGCACAACCAUGGGCAGGAUAGCUUGGCAGUGAGAGCUGCAUUUGUACACGCUUUGGGGGAUUUGGUACAAAGUGUCGGUGUGCUAAUAGCUGCCUACAUCAUACGAUUCAAGCCAGAAUACAAGAUUGCUGAUCCCAUCUGUACAUACGUAUUUUCAUUACUUGUGGCUUUUACAACAUUUCGCAUUAUAUGGGACACAGUAGUUAUAAUACUAGAAGGUGUGCCAAGGCAUUUGCAUGUUGACUAUAUCAAAGAAGCCUUGAUGAAAAUAGAAGAUGUCCAUUCAGUGGAAGAUUUAAAUGUCUGGUCUCUCACUUCAGGAAAGCCCAUGGCCAUUGCACACAUACAGCUAAUUCCUGGAAGUUCAUCUAAAUGGGAGGAGGUACAGUCCAAAGCCAGGCAUUUGUUGUUGAACACAUUUGGCAUGUAUAAAUGUACUAUUCAGCUUCAGAGUUACAGGCAAGACGUGGACAGAACUUGUGCAAACUGUCAGAAUGCCAGUUCCUAAUUGAAGAUGUCUGGGGGACUACUGCCUUAUUUACCCUGCAGUCACAGACUUGAGAGCAAUAAAUGACACGUGAAUGGGAGAAUGGAAUUCCUGACAGCCGUGCCCAUGCACUGGCCUCACAAUCAGCCUGAGAAUGCUAGUUUCUGUCGAAUGGUAAAGUGAGACUUCACCAUGAUUUUCAGAUGAAGAUGUUUCCAAAACACUGUUUACAGAAUGAGACGUGACUCUACAGAUACCUCAGAGAAGACAAUCGAAGACCGUACUUCACAAUCACAACAGAGUAUGUGUCAUAAAGGAAGCAUCAAGAGUUCUGUAUUUGCAUUUAAAAAUCCUUUUUAAAGCCCACUUCUAUCAAGCCAGAGCUGGAAAACUGAUUUUUUAAUGUAAUCUUGAUACCCAGCUUCUGGAAUUUGACACCCAGCUCUCUUUUUACAGAAAGUAUUUCUCAACAGAUUUCAGAAAGUACUAGUAAUUAUCCAGAGUGGAAUAAGCAUGUAUUCCUAAAUGUUUCAGAACUGUUUUAUUUCACAAUCACUUUUAAUGUCCCCCCAGCCCAGCAACAAUGGCAGAGAGGAAAGAAAGAAGCCCCUGAGAAAGUAAGAUUGGUGAAGACACGGAGAAGUCGGAGAGCGAAGGCCCAGUGUCUCUCCAAGAACGUAGAUGGGGGUCAGCAAACCUUACCUCACGGGCCAGGGCCAGCCUGCAGCCUGUUCUGUGUGGCCCAAAGAACUGAGAAUGGAUUUUACAUUUUAAAAUGUUUUUUAAAAGCCAGAAUAAUUAUAUUUUAUCAUGUGAAAAUUCUAUGAACUUUAAAUUUCAAUGCUGAAAUCCCAGUUUGUCUGUGACCACUCAAUUAUGCCUGUUGUCCUGGCAUAAUUAUUAAUAGCAUCUCCUUUUAUUCUCAAAGUGGCCAGUUUAUGAUAAUAAAUGAUAAGGUCACCCUAAAAAAAAUGUCAGUGUCUGUAAAUAAAAUGGUAAACACAACCACUCAUUGAGUUACGUGUUGUCUGGCCGCUUGCAUGCCGCAGUAGCAAAGUUGAGUAGUUACAACAAUAUAAAGCGUGUACCAUCUGUCCCUUUAGAGGAGAAGUUUGCCAACCCCUGGCGGAAGUUCCGUGUUGCACCCUUUGAGGCCUGGCAGCAUAUGUGGAUGCAGCGAGCCCUUCGAGAGCCCACUUAGAAGCUGCUGAGGCUGGUCCCUCGGAGACUACCUGAGUCACCGAAGGCUCUUUUCUUCCCUUGACCUAUUUUCUUGUCUUUAUCCCCCUUGGAGUUUGGGCAGAAAUAUAGGAAAAGAGGAGCAAGUUUCAGAUGUUACCUAUGCACCAUAUGCUGUAUCUAAUGUUCACUAGCAAAACAGUUUUCUACCCAGAACAACAUGAUCACCAGAAUCAUCUAAUAAUAAUUUCAUCAUAAAGCUUUAUUCACUUGAUUUUUAAUUUUUUUACUAAAGUUAUGACAAAAAUAAAGGAAAUAAAAAUGUAUGUAUGUUGAAUACCUUAUGUAGUUUGUGCCAACUGAAAGCUCACAAAUGAAAAAUAACACUUUAUCUGCUAAAUAAGAUGUUUGUGAGGUUUUUAAAAUAAUGUUCUUUAAAGUUUUCCAGUUACCUAGGAAAAGACUUAACUAUUUUUGAAAAUAGUAAUAAAAUAAAGUUUUAAAUAAAUUAUUCUAGUAAAUAAAGAGACGUUGCAUAUUGUUUAUCUACUUAUAUACUUAGCUAUA